CACGUAGUUUGAUCAUGGCUCAGAACGAACGCUGGCGGCAUGCCUAACACAUGCAAGUCGAACGAGACCUUCGGGUCUAGUGGCGCACGGGUGCGUAACGCGUGGGAACCUGCCUUUAGGUUCGGAAUAACUCAGAGAAAUUUGAGCUAAUACCGCAUAAUGUCGUAAGACCAAAGAUUUAUCGCCCAAGGAUGAGCCCGCGUAAGAUUAGCUAGUUGGUGGGGUAAAAGCCUACCAAGGCGACGAUCUUUAGCUGGUCUGAGAGGAUGAUCAGCCACACUGGGACUGAGACACGGCCCAGACUCCUACGGGAGGCAGCAGUGGGGAAUAUUGGACAAUGGGCGAAAGCCUGAUCCAGCAAUGCCGCGUGAGUGAUGAAGGCCCUAGGGUUGUAAACUGCUUUUGUACGGAACGAAACGGUGAGCUCUAAUACAGUUUGCUAAUGACGGUACCGUAAGAAUAAGCACCGGCUAACUACGUG
rnacentral:rRNA from 1 species